AAGGAAUAUUGGACAAUGGGGGCAACCCUGAUCCAGCCAUGCCGCGUGAAUGAAGAAGGCCUUAGGGUUGUAAAGUUCUUUCGUCUACGAAGAUAAUGACUGUAGUAGAAGAAGAAGCUCCGGCUAAAUUCGUGCCAGCAGCCGCGGUAAUACGAAUGGAGCGAGCGUUGUUCGGAAUCACUGGGCGUAAAGGGUGCGCAGGCGGUUAUGAAAGUCAGAAGUGAAAGCCCAGGGCUCAACCCUGGAAUUGCUUUUGAAACUCCAUAACUUGAGUACUGGAGAGGUUGGCGGAAUUCCGAGUGUAGCAGUGAAAUGCGUAGAUAUUCGGAGGAACACCGAUGGCGUAGGCAGCCAACUGGACAGUUACUGACGCUCAUGCACGAAAGCGUGGGGAUCAAAC
rnacentral:rRNA from 1 species